UCGCGAAAACUUGUCAAUGAGGGAAACCUCGAACAGGGGAGUCCAAGUGCAUGCGUUUUACGUAUGCUGUUCAGUUGUCUAAAAAACAGCCGAAGUAAGGGCUGGGUAAGACAGGUGCCAGCCGCCGCGGUAAUACCUGCAGCCCAAGUGGUGAUCGAUAUUAUUGAGCCUAAAGCGUCCGUAGCCGGUUUGGUAAACCCCCGGGUAAAUCGAGCAGCUUAACUGUUCGAAUUCCGGGGGGACUGCCAGACUUGGGACCGGGAGAGGUCAGAGGUACUUCAGGGGUAGGGGCUAAAUCCUGUAAUCCUUGAAGGACCACCAGUGGCGAAGGCGUCUGACUAGAACGGAUCCGACGGUAAGGGACGAAACCCUGGGGCGCAAACCGGAUUAGAUACCCGGGUAGUCCAGGGCGUAAACGCUGCAGGCUUGGUGUUGGGGACCCUACGAGGGUGCUCAGUGCCGGAGUGAAGAUGUUAAGCCUGCCGCUUGGGGAGUACGUCCGCAAGGAUGAAACUUAAAGGAAUUGGCGGGAGAGCACAGCAACGGGAGGAGCGUGC
rnacentral:rRNA from 1 species